GACCACGCACAACCGCUCUAUGUCCCGCGGUGACGUUUGAUUGGUGGGUCCCAUGACCGCUGAAGCAACAGCCUUAUCCUCCCAUCCCUUCAUUCUAUCUUCCCGUAGCCACACAAGUCUUCUCCUCUAAUCCCUUCUUCCCAGCGCGGGCACAUAGCCGCCGCCGCUAUUUGCUCUCCUCACACCGACGCCGGUGAAGCCACCGAGGACCGCGCCUUCCUGGCUUCCUGCGAGCUCCACCAUCGAGCGCAUCCAGCGGGCACCACAGUCGCCUAUGGAUGAGCUGACGAGCCGGCCAUCCGGCUGCUUCCGGAGCCGCGGUCGUCGACGACGAAGAGGCUCUGUAGCAGCAUCUUUGCGCUCCAUCGUCGUACAAUCGGGAGGAGCGUCCCAUCGCUCGUAGCUUCGCCGUGCGGCCGUGCUGGGAUCACCAACCAGCCGUGCUGGAACGGACGAGCGGAGAAGUUGCAAGCCGGCAGGCGCCCAUGCUGGAACUGCCGGGCGGCGAUUUGUGCUGGAACCCGACGAUAGACUCUGCUGCAACCAGCCAGCCAUUUUGCUGGAACCGGCAUCGAUUUUUUUUCUGGACACGACAGUGCAAGUCGUCAACCACGGCGACGCUGGUGAUGCAACCCUGGUGACCGCGGUUGGAACUGGCGGUGCCAGAGUUGCAACCAUGGUGACCACUGACGGCGGUGCAUCAUUCUCGACGGCAGCGCGGCGAGGGGUCGCUAGAUGGCAGUGCGGCAACCGGGGGUGCGAUGGAGUCGAAGCCGCUGCACCGGCGAGGCGGACGGCGCACACCGAGAUGGGACUGGCCCGAGCAGAGGAAGAGGAGGCACUGCGUUGAUUUUUUGAGUCGGGGGAGUAGGACGAAGCAAAUAGGAAGAGCAGAUCAAACGGUGCUGGUGGCACGUAUCGAACGGGAAAGGUGCGACCGGCCCAAAUUUUUGGGCCGGCGGACCGGCGCCUAGCACUGCCCAAUAAAGAUACAGAGUAGAUGAAAUGCAGAAUACUUUUCCAGGUGUUGAUUCCCAUCCAUCAAACAGACGCUCCGCCGCAUCACAUCAAAAGGCUCUCGUCUCCCACAUCCUUGAUCAUAUCUUGUCUCUCGCGUCUCGGAACAGCUGUCCAGACAAGUUUCACCUCCACAAGUGCGGAGCCUAAUCUAUAAUGCAUCAUCUC